rnacentral:rRNA from 1 species
UACAGGGGGGGCGAGCGUUGUUCGGAAUUACUGGGCGUAAAGGGUUUGUAGGUGGCUUGCUCAGUCAGACGUGAAAUCCCUCGGCUUAACCGGGGAACUGCGUCUGAUACUGGAUGGCUUGAGUUCGGGAGAGGGAUGCGGAAUUCCAGGUGUAGCGGUGAAAUGCGUAGAUAUCUGGAGGAACACCGAUGGCGAAGGCAGGUCUCUGGGCCACUACUGACGCUGAGAAGCGAAA